rnacentral:ncRNA from 2 species
CGCAGCCCUGUUGGAGAGAGAGGCAUGCAGUGAUCCACCGCAUGCGUCCACCGAAGGAGCAAGCGCGGCGUAUCCCGCGUGAAUCUCUCAGGUAAAGAGGACAGCCGGGCAUGC